rnacentral:rRNA from 1 species
UACGUAGGGCGCAAGCGUUGUCCGGAAUUAUUGGGCGUAAAGGGCUCGUAGGCGGUUUGUCGCGUCGGGAGUGAAAACUCAGGGCUUAACCCUGAGCCUGCUUCCGAUACGGGCAGACUAGAGGUAUGCAGGGGAGAACUGGAAUUCCUGGUGUAGCGGUGAAAUGCGCAGAUAUCAGGAGGAACACCGGUGGCGAAGGCGGCUUGCUGGGCCUUACCUGACGCUGAGGAGCGAAAGCGUGGGGAGCGAACAGG